CUGCACGGGCCUGGCUCAACCCG
rnacentral:siRNA from 1 species